rnacentral:rRNA from 1 species
GUGUCAGCCGCCGCGGUAAUACGUAGGGUGCGAGCGUUAAUCGGAAUUACUGGGCGUAAAGCGUGCGCAGGCGGUUUUUUAAGACAGGCGUGAAAUCCCCGGGCUUAACCUGGGAACUGCGCUUGUGACUGGAAGGCUAGAGUACGGCAGAGGGGGGUGGAAUUCCACGUGUAGCAGUGAAAUGCGUAGAGAUGUGGAGGAACACCGAUGGCGAAGGCAGCCCCCUGGGCCGAUACUGACGCUCAUGCACGAAAGCGUGGGGAGCAAACAGGAUUAGAUACCCCGGUAGUCC